rnacentral:rRNA from 1 species
ACAGGUGGUGCAUGGCUGUCGUCAGCUCGUGUCGUGAGAUGUUGGGUUAAGUCCCGCAACGAGCGCAACCCUCAUUUUUAGUUGCCGUAUGGAACUCUAGAAAGACUGCUGGUUAUAAACCGGAGGAAGGCGGGGAUGACGUCAAGUCAGCAUGCCCCUUACACCCUGGGCUACACACGUGCUACAAUGGGUGAGACAAUGAGAUGCAAAUCUGCGAAGACAAGCUAAUCUAAAAACUCAUUCUAAGUUCGGAUUGUAGGCUGCAACUCGCCUACGUGAAG